CCCUACGGGGGGCAGCAGUGGGGAAUAUUGCACAAUGGGGGAAACCCUGAUGCAGCGACGCCGCGUGAGUGAAGAAGUAUUUCGGUACGUAAAGCUCUAUCAGCAGGGAAGAAAAAAAGUCCUUUGGACUUUGGACGGUACCUGACCAAGAAGCCCCGGCUAACUACGUGCCAGCAGCCGCGGUAAUACGUAGGGGGCAAGCGUUAUCCGGAUUUACUGGGUGUAAAGGGAGCGUAGACGGCGAUGCAAGUCUGAAGUGAAAGGCGGGGGCCCAACCCCCGGACUGCUUUGGAAACUGGAUGGCG
rnacentral:rRNA from 1 species